rnacentral:lncRNA from 1 species
CCCUUGAUAUUAAACUAGAUUAGUUUAACAAGUGAAAUGUCCGUAAAGUAUCAUCAUAUGAUUGGUUUUAGGGCACAUUUCCAACAAUAACAACUAGACAUAGAACCUUGCACAUGGAACUCGACAUGUUUUAGCAUGACGGCCACUCACAGUAUAAGUAUAAGGCCUUAAUGGUUGAACUUAGAGGUACAAAGAACUCAAAGGUACCUUGGUUAAUGUCCAGUUAUUUGUAUGGCAAGCAUUCAACUAUAAUAAAGUGCUCGAACAAAGUAUGAUCGUCAAUUUAGCAGGUUAAUAAUAUAACUACAAUAGUGUUUCCCUAUUUUGGACUAGAAGUCUAAUUAAACAAACACACCAAAGAAGGAAAAGAAAACUUACUUAAGACUUGGAGAUUGCUUGAAUAUGUACACUUGAACUUUUAUUAAUAUAUGGAAUGUUUACAGGGAUAGUUGUUUACAAGAAAGUGAUAGUGUUUACAAGGAUUCUAUGAAGGCUACGGAUGCUUGAGAGUAUGAAGAUGGUGUGAGAGUAGGGUGUUCAGAUGUUGAGUGCUGGAGGUGUCUUUACAAUGAAUGAAACUUCACUUAUAUAGACUAAAUCAAGAUACAAUGAUAUUAAAAUUAUAAAUAAAUGGUGUGGACAUUUCUUUGGUACUUGUCAUUUGUCAUUAUGCUUCUAUUGUCAGCACUAUUUCUGAAACGUGGCCUGAUGCAUGUGAACUUGCUUGUCUCCUUUUGCAUGUGAAUUUGCUGCAUGGUUUGUCUCCUGGUGCCCAACUUUUGCAUGUGAUAUCCCUAAAAUGCUCUUUCUCUUAAAAUACUCUUUCCCUUGUCUUCUUUUACAUGCCCACUUUGGGUAUUAUUGAAUUGUUUUGUUCUUAUGAUUAAAAUGAAAUCGUUGAGGGUGUUUUGGUUAGUUUUUCAUAAAUAAAACCUAUGAUUUGUCAUUACUUAUAUUAAUGACAUUUUACAUACAAAAAAUUGGUAAUACGAUACAUUUUAUGUCAAAGCCUGUCCCGAAAGAUAUUCCUUGAUUAUGUGAAAUGUCUAGAAUACCCUUGGAUGUUAAGUACAUUGUGUGUGAUGUUGUGGUUUGAGUUUAGGUUUUAGACUAAUUUAAUGAAGGAUUUAUUUUGAAAAACAUGUUCAUUUGAGCAACAUCAUAUAGCAUGCAAUUAACAAUUAAAGGCGG